rnacentral:lncRNA from 1 species
UAUGAUAUUCAAAAUCUGUGUAAAGAAAUAUGUUAAUCAAUAUAAGAAAGAAGAUGUGGUCUGGUUGCUAAUGAGAAAAAUCUAUACAAGAGACCAAAAAAAGCUUGAAUAAUCACUAUGUAUGUGUUUUGAUACACAAUGUUGUUUUCUCAUACCAUAUUGAUAUUCUGAUUAUGUUUGAAUUCCGAUAAAAUAAAUACACUUUGUAAAGCAUCAAUCAGCUUUUGUUGUUGGUGUUUAACCUCCAUAGUCGUAUCAGUGGUUGCUUGCUCUCAAAAAAAGGGAAGUAUGAUUUAUAUGUAUUCAAUGAUUGUAGUCAUUAUGUUUUCAGUAGAUAAAAAAAUACUAAGUUUUGUUGGCAAGAAUUACAUCCUAGCUACUUUUAUUUGAGUACUUAUUUUCCAUUAAGAUGUUGUGAUAUAAAGUAUGCUUUCUUCAUGUAAUUGUCUCCUUAAGUUUGG